rnacentral:rRNA from 1 species
GAUGAACGCUGGCGGCGUGCUUAACACAUGCAAGUCGAACGGAAAGGCCCUGCUUUUGUGGGGUGCUCGAGUGGCGAACGGGUGAGUAACACGUGAGUAACCUGCCCUUGACUUUGGGAUAACUUCAGGAAACUGGGGCUAAUACCGGAUAGGAGCUCCUGCUGCAUGGUGGGGGUUGGAAAGUUUCGGCGGUUGGGGAUGGACUCGCGGCUUAUCAGCUUGUUGGGGUGGUAGUGGCUUACCAAGGCUUUGACGGGUAGCCGGCCUGGGAGGGUGACCGGCCCCAUUGGGACGGAGAUACGGCCCGGACCCCUACGGGAGGCAGCAGUGGGGUAUAUUGCACAAUGGGCUGAAGCCUAAUGCAGCAACGCCGCGUGCGGGAUGACGGCCUUCGGGUUGUAAACCGCUUUCGCCUGUGACGAAGCGUUAGUGACGGUAAUGGGUAAAGAAGCACCGGCUAACUACGUG